rnacentral:rRNA from 1 species
UUCCAAAGGUUGACCUCGGAUCAGGUAGGAAUACCCGCUGAACUUAAGCAUA